UAUAGAGGGUGCAAGCGUUAAUCGGAAUUACUGGGCGUAAAGCGUGCGCAGGCGGUUUUGUAAGUCUGUCGUGAAAGCCCCGGGCUCAACCUGGGAAUUGCGAUGGAGACUGCAAGGCUUGAAUCUGGCAGAGGGGGGUAGAAUUCCACGUGUAGCAGUGAAAUGCGUAGAGAUGUGGAGGAAUACCGAUGGCGAAGGCAGCCCCCUGGGAUAACACUGACGCUCAUGCACGAAAGCGUGGGGAGCAAACAGG
rnacentral:rRNA from 1 species